AUCUCCCUUGGGGUAUUUCUUAACAGACUUAUCAAGGCUAGGAUCGUUACACUAGUCCCUCYGUUCAGAAAACACAACCUGUGCUUCUCUAUAARAAAUUCUUCAAGCUUUAACAGGACAUGCUUUUGACCCUCAUGCACUAUCCUACUCUGCGCAUCAGAUUAGCAAAUGGUAGGAGGGGCUAUUGACAUGAGGUAGGCGUAAAGCCAGGUCGCUUGACCUUGAGGAAAUCACACUACACACAACAACCCCAAAAGAGUAAGGGCCGCAUCAAGGCUAACGUCGUUCAACUUGUCAGGCAGCAGUUAGGACAUUUCUAACUACUAAAUGCUGUUGCAAAAUAAAAAAAUUUUUUUUGCUGGCUCACUGGCUUUUAUUUCAAUGUGGUAUUUAAUACAAAGUAGUGAUAWAAAACGUUCAAAUGCUCAGACCGAUUGACUGUAACCUAAGCCUCUGUCUUGCAGGCAUGAACUCUUAGGUAUGUAUUAAAAAUAGAUUAAAAAUAUUAUAUUACUCCCAAAAUAAGAGGAACCACAGCUAAUGUACAUUAAAACCACAUUGUGAUGCACUUGUAAUUGAAUGACAUAUGUAUCUAAUAUAAUGACCUACAGUUCAUAUCAUAAUUUGAUGACAUAUAUCUGUCAUAGUGGAUUCCUAUCUCUUCACCCAUAAAACACCGUUAUACUAAUGCCUUUAAGUUACAUUAUAUAAAUAACACAAUUUUUAUUUAAUAGUUUUCAGUAUCAGUACCCAUCCUCCUGCAGUACCCAUGCUCUUGCACCUAUCCCCACAAGAUACAGGUACAGUAUGCUAGAAUGCCAAACAUAUGCCAUGCCAAACUUUUUAAAAGUUCAUACAGCCAAGCUAUUCUUUUCAUCAAUUCUGUCAUUACAUUUUGGGCAGAGAGGCAGACCCUGUGUGCACAAACGUGAGGGGAAAAGAGAGAGACAAUGGUCGACAGCAUGCUCUCUGCUGAAGGUACUUUAUUGGGCCAGUGUCAGUUUGAAGGGUUUUAUUGCCCCUUGUCCCCAACCAACAUUAAUUCAUCAGGAUGAUGAGGGGUCCCUUACCUUCCAGGAGCAAGGUGUGUGUUUAUUUUUUAAGUGUUUCAAAUGAAAUCUGAUAGCACCUUCGAUACCCACUUUUUAGUCAUGCUGCACAAUUUUCAAAUCAUCAGUAUCUACAGUCCAAAUAUAAUUAACAAUUUAUUUGUGAUUCUUUUGUGUUACAUUUUGGUUUCUAGUUUGUCUUUUGCCCAUAGCUAUGCCACAGCAGUGUGUUUUCCCCCGCUUCCCAGCGCCCUGACAGUGACGAGUUGCAAGCAGUCAUCCUGACUGGAAUAAAUGGGCGCUACAAACUGUCCCUUCCUGAUAUGAACUGCUCCGGGUGUCUGAGACAUUGGAGAGUGGGGCUGGACGAACUUGUAAAGAGUGGCUACUUGCCAGCCACCGUGACUCACCAGACCAUCUUCACAGUGGACCUCUUCAAGUCCUUUGAAGGUGUUGGUCCCACAUGCCUUUGUGGGAAUGCUUGACGGAAGAACAAAGCACUUUGGCAGGAGUGGAAAGAUAUGUGGCGGCACAUUCCAGAAGGCAUUCCUCGAGUGGACGUAGGGCGUUUGGAAAUAACCAAGCUUUGUGGAAGCGACCUCCUCCAUUGUCCUGCCUGCUCACAGGAGAUGGAUGCUAUAUCAGUGGAUGGGAAUUGUAAGCAAUACCGCUUCCAGAACACCUCAGGGUUUGUACUACCUACUUAUGUGUUGAUGUUUUGUUCAGGGUAUAAUUAUGCCUU